rnacentral:rRNA from 1 species
UACGUAGGGGGCAAGCGUUAUCCAGAUUUACUGGGCGGAAAGCGCGUGUAGGCGGCUGGUUAGGCGUGAUGUGAAAUCUUCCGGCUCAACCGGAAAACUGCAUUGCGAACCGGCCUGGCUAGAGUGCAGGAGAGGGAAGCGGAAUUCCAGGUGUAGCGGUGGAAUGCGUAGAGAUCCGGAGGAACACCAGCGGCGAAGGCGGCAUCCUGGACUGGUCCUGACGCUCAGGAGCGAAAGCGUGGGGAGCGAUCCGG